GACAGAGAGCGGGUCAUAUCUUCAACAACCCCGUGGUUCCAAAGGAGCGCUUUGUCCUGCUGACAGUGAAGCGGUGGAACCACAGCGGUGGAUCAACGUGUGGAGAGCCAGACUGAAGCUCCCCUCAGAAGGGCAGCUGGUCAGAACAGAUGAUAUGUCAAGGGUCAAAGGUCCCUUACACACCCGGGGGUCAAUAAACCUACGACGGGCCGAGUGAACUUGCCCGUGGGCGUGCCCGUGGGCGUGCCCGUGAGCGUGCCCGUUGCCGGGGUGCGUCGGAGCGUGAGUCACGGCAGGCGUUGUGCUCGCGGCUCAUUCCGCCUUCCUGGGUAAUCCCAGAGACGACUCACACUCUGCAGCGCUAGCACUGGAACCGGUCUGCACUGGAUCACACCAGCUCAUCCACUCCCACCGCCUCUCUGUCUCUCUUUCCCACACCCUUUGUCUCUCUCUCUCUCUCUCUCUCUCUCUCUCUCUCUCUCUCUCUCUCUCUCUCUCUCUCUCUCUCUCUCUCUCUCUCUCUCUCUCUCUCACUUCCCUCUUUACCUCUCCCUCCCUAUCUGUAUUUAUCUCACCCUCUCUCUUUCUUCCUCUUUCAUCCCUUUGUAGUUCAGUAUCUCUAUAUCAUAUACGCUAUGCACUCUGUAACUCAUAGGCCUACUCUAUAUGCUCUGCAUCUUUAUCUCUUUAUCAUUAUAUGUUGUGCUUUAUAUACUCCACAUUGUAGAAUGUUGGUGUAUUUUAGUGUUCUCUCUGUGUUCACAUUUCUAGUCUAGGAACAGGCCAGUGCCUCUCACACUGAUACAAGGUGUUAUUUCCGACAUCUGCCAGUUGUUAUGUCUCAACAAGGAUGAACCGACCUGGUCCUCUGGGACAUAGCCAGGGCCAGAUACCUUAUCAAGGCUGAGAGUGCUUCUGUUUACGUGUUAUUCAUGUUUUCUCUUCUUCUAUGAUACUCGCCCCAACCCUUUGGUUCGGUGAGAAGAGGGUUCGACAGCCAAGGAACACGUCUCAAAACUGCUCCUCAACCGCGUCCACUAUAGAUUAUUCAACCUAAGUCUGUAUCUCACUGUAUUACAUCCUGGAAUAAACCAUCUAUGCAACCCUCUGAUCCAACCUGUCAAGUUGCUUUGAUCUCUCCCUCUGCCCUCUCAAUUAAUUUAUAUUCAAAAGAGC
ensembl:lncRNA